CCCUUAGAUGUCCUGGGCCGCACGCGCGUUACACUGAUGCAUUCAACGAGCUUAUAACCUUGGCCGAGAGGCCUGGGCAAUCUUGUUAACGUGCAUCGUGAUAGGGAUAGAUUAUUGAAAUUAUUAAUCUUGAACGAGGAAUUCCUAGUAAACGCAAAUCAUCAAUUUGCAUUGAUUACGUCCCUGCCCUUUGUACACACCGCCCGUCGCACCUACCGAUUGAAUGGUCCGGUGAAGCCUCGGGAUUGUGGCCAGUUCACUUUAUUGGGAGUUGGCUGUGAGAACUUGUCUAAACCUUAUCAUUUAGAGGAAGGUGAAGUCGUAACA
rnacentral:rRNA from 1 species